CCUGUUUUAUUUUGUCUUGUAAUCCCAGUCCAUGUACAGUCCUGUCCAGUCAUGCCCAUGUUAUGUUCUUGUUUUCCUCAUGUCUUGUGUACAUGUUCUAGGUUUUGAUUUCUGUCCUGCUCCUGUUCUGGGUUCUCCUAGUUUUGUCUUGUUUUCAUGUAUGGUGCCUUGCUCUCUUAGUUUUGCCUUGCUUCAGUACUGGAUACUGCUGCAGAGCCUCCCUAUUCAGCUCCUGGGAGGUCUGCUUAAUUACCUGCUCCUAGUUCCUGGGAUCCGCAUAAGCUGAUUAAGGGUUCUGGUUGUGGCUGCACAACCUUAGGUGCUCAACACCAGGGGGUGUGCAGUUACCCUGCACCAGACCCUGCUAAUACUGUGACUCCCUACUCUGAACAUCAGGCAUAUUUGGGUCCUGGUCCAUGCACCGCCGCCCGGACAGUGUCUGGGUCCUGGGCACCGGACCGCCACCCUGACACACACACACACACAUACACACAUACACACACACAUUAAGCCUACCUGUCACUGGAGGCUGUUGCUGGGGGUCAGGCAGCCAUCUUCUGCAGCAGCAUGGUCUGCUGCUUUACGACAGGGGCGGAGCUUGUGUGUGGGAGGCGGGGCUUUGUUUGGGGGUGGGGCCUUGCCAGGGAGCCUGUCAGUGCUCCCUUCGGCCACAGACAGCCCCCUGCACUGCAUUCCUUCGGGCUGUCACAGAUUGUUACAGUCCGAGGGAAUAUAAUUGAAACACA